AGCAUUACUACCACCUGCUGUCAUACUUGCUUGUUUUUUAUUAUAAUAAUUGAAACCUAUUUUCUUCUUUUCAUAUCUUCGACUAUUAGUUUUUUUUUUUCAAAUGGCCUGAAAGAAUCCAGCAUGUAACCCUAAGAAUUAAUGCAUUAGGUAAUCUCAGAACAGUUUUACCUGGUGUUAUUUGCUGCAAGUGUAACUGCACUUUAAUGUUUUAGCAAGUUUUGAAGAAGGAUACAUGACCAAGGGUUUUAGUAACUGCACUUUAAAGUAUACUUGCUUGUUUUUUAUUAUAAUCAUUGAAACCUAUUUCGUCUUUGCAUAUCUUUCACUAUUAGUUUUUUUUUUUUUCAAAUGGCAUGAAAGAAUCCAAUUGGUGGCUUGCAACCCUAAGAAUUGAAGCAUCAGAGGAAGCUGCUCUCAUGGACCUUUUAGGCUUUAUAAUCAGCAGAAGCAUUUCAACUACCUCUCCGACCCUCCUGGAUGUGUUGAUGGGCUGUGGAUAAGCUCGAGGUUGUUUCUUGCAUGCGGUAUUGUAGUCAGUAUCUUAGAAGCUUGCCUAUGACCACAGAAUCUGCAUUACUCUAUCUGGAUCUCCCUUGUAGCAUUUCAACGGCCUCGGCAGUCCAGCUUUUAACCGAUGCAGCUAAGGAUUUCUUUGCUAAUAGUUUCAGGGACACAACCAAGUGUGUCAACAUUUAGAGGCAAGAAACACAAUCCAUAUGCAAAACUUUUUACAUAUUUUGUAACUCUGGAAGUGGAGGUUGGAUCAGCUUUACAGUAGAAUGCAAGAUCGCCACAACAUCGAAGCCAUCAGGAGCAUUUGUGAGCAAAUACAAAGGCUUCUAGGCUUUCACAGGUGUGAAGGCCGUGGGCUACAGGAACCUGUUUGCCAUACCGUGGGCUUCCUUUAUUAGCAAGGAUAGCCUCUUCUUCAUCGACGGCACCCUUUGGUAGGGAGCUGAUUUGACCAUCAAGCAGCCUCAACCUCCUUCCCUGCAGUAGUACAAGUUCUCUUGAUUGUUGGAUUAAAGUUUACAUCUCAUGGAAGUCAAGGUUGUCAUUUCUUGGAGGAGUAAAAUGCCAUAUGCUGUAAUGAUAACAGUAAAAUGUUAUAUAUCAAGGAGGUCAAGAAAUCUGACCCUGUAAAUGUCUCUGAUUUUUCUACACACCUCAUGGAAGUAUAGUCAAGUCUGUGUCACAGAAAUCCGAGUUUGGUGUGGAGUUCCAACCUAAUUUGUGUAUAUGGAAUUCUUAAUUCAUGCAAGAAUUCAUGAUCUUUUCAUCA